UACGUAGGGUGCGAGCGUUGUCCGGAAUUAUUGGGCGUAAAGAGCUCGUAGGCGGUCUGUCGCGUCGGUCGUGAAAACUUGGGGCUUAACCCUGAGCUUGCGGUCGAUACGGGCAUGACUGGAGUUCGGUAGGGGAGACUGGAAUUCCUGGUGUAGCGGUGAAAUGCGCAGAUAUCAGGAGGAACACCGGUGGCGAAGGCGGGUCUCUGGGCCGAAACUGACGCUGAGGAGCGAAAGCGUGGGGAGCAAACAGG
rnacentral:rRNA from 1 species